rnacentral:rRNA from 1 species
GACAGAGGCAUGAUUAAGUACAAAGGACGCCUCUGGAUUGGGAAUAAUGCAGCAUUACAAACUAAACUGAUCAGUGAGCUACAUACAGCUGCGGUGGGAGGUCAUUCAGGUAUCCGUCCAACUUAUUUGCGACUGAAGAAUUUGUUCUUUUGGCCUGGCAUGAAACUACAAGUUGAGGAGUUUGUCAAGCAGUGCAGUGUCUGUCAGCAAGCGAAACACGAACAUGCACAUCCGUCGGGCACAUUACAACCCUUGCCGAUACCUGUUCGAGCCUGGGGCGAAGUAACGAUGGAUUUUAUUGAAGGGUUGCCGCGUUCAGAAGGGGCUGAUGUGAUUCUGGUGGUUGCUCGUGCAUUCCUCGACAACAUUGUCAAAUUGCAUGGUGUUCCAGAAUCAAUCGUUUCUGACCGGGAUAAGAUCUUCACGAGUGCAUUUUGGAGGGAACUAUUUGCGCUCGUCGGCACCAAGCUUCUUUACACUACCGCCUACCAUCCACAGACGGAUGGCCAGAGCGAAAGGGUGAAUCAAUGUCUUGAGCAUUAUCUACGUUGUGCUGUUCACGACACACCGUGUCGGUGGAAAAGAUGGUUACCAAUGGCAGAAUUCUGGUACAACUCGAGUCAUCACAGUGCGAUCGGGUGCUCGCCGUUCAAAGCCUUAUAUGGAGUGGAUCCGAACUUUGGUGCCCUGCCU